GCCGAGGUGGCACAACCUGGUACUGCGCAGGAUUGCUAAUCCUGUUUCCUUACGGAUUUGGGGGUUCAAAUCCUCCCCUCGGCG
rnacentral:tRNA from 1 species